ensembl:lincRNA
AAGAUCAUUAAGCCACCAAAAGAAUUUAAUGCCUUCUAGUAUUAAAACUCUCAAUUGUUUCAGAUGUUCCAAACAAAUGAUGACGCCAUAUUAUCAGAGAUCAGUUACAAACCAAGGUUGCAUACUACCUAUGAAUUUCCAGUGGUUUGCUUUGUGAAGAGGCUUAAAUUCCCCUCUGUGAUGCAUUUUGGAAUGAGUGGGUUUGAUGCCCACACCUUGAAAGAAAUCCCUCAAAAAACAAAAGGACAAGAGUCACCAACUCCCACACAAAGUAAAACAUGGACACUUAAUUUUAACAGUGUUAAUAAGGAGCAACUAUCCAAGAAGUCACUGUAUCAAUAAUGCCUGUGUUAUAACACCCUCUCCUCCCUAAAGCAAGGGAACAAGUGAUACAUCUUGUCUGAAAACCAGUUUCAUCAAUACUGUUGAUGUGUCUGUACAAAGAUGAGUAGCAACAUCUGUUACCAGUUUCACUACAUUUUGGAGUUUUGAAUAACAUAUCUAUACCAUGAUAUUCACAAUUUUUAAUGAGUUAAUUUUAAGUGAAAUUGCCAUUCUAACUCUGAAAUCAAGCUCAUACAUAAUAAAGCUUGCCCAUACCCAGUGUGUUCUUUUCUGAAUUAACAUUCAGCAUUUUUAUGAUUUAGUUGCUCACUUUAGUUUUACCCAUUAUGCUUAGUAACCGUGUCUCAGUGAAAUAUAUUGAAGUCUCCCUCUUUUAUAAUGCACUCAAAAGGAGGAUUUUCCCAUGAGCCCUUCAUCUAUGGCUUUCUAUGCUGCUUUUUUCUUUUCUGUUUCCUGAUAAUGUCUCAUGAGGAAACAUUGUAAACUUAUUUUGACAUUGUGCAUUUCUUUUCUAUUACCUUGAUAAAGC